GGCCCGGUAGCGGACGGUCCGCAUCUGCAUUCCAUUAUGGAACAACGUGAAAUUCGAGCAGGGACGCCCAUUCGAUUCGGGCCCGGGCCA